rnacentral:lncRNA from 1 species
CAUGAACCAGGGUCAACAAGCGUGACCUCUGUGCCACUCUGAUAUACCUGAGCAUGAGGGAAGGACCUGAAGAAAAGGAAGGAGAGGAAACUAACGGAGACAGAGAAGAAAAUGAAAUAGCAAAGACCCUCCGUGGGGCAGCUGAGAUUUCUCUACUCAUCACUUCAACUACAACUGUUCCUUGUAGAAAAAAAGCCCAGGACUGAAGCUGAUUCCUCUGUGCUCAGAAGUCUGAUAGUUACAGACCAAGGAAAACCAAAGUGGGAAAAUAAAUAAAUGAAAAAUAGUGUCA